UGGGGAAUAUUGGACAAUGGGCGAAAGCCUGAUCCAGCCAUGCCGCGUGUGUGAAGAAGGUCUUCGGAUUGUAAAGCACUUUAAGUUGGGAGGAAGGGCAUUAACCUAAUACGUUAGUGUUUUGACGUUACCGACAGAAUAAGCACCGGCUAACUCUGUGCCAGCAGCCGCGGUAAUACAGAGGGUGCAAGCGUUAGUCGGCAUUACUGGGCGUAAAGCGCGCGUAGGUGGUUUGUUAAGUUGGAUGUGAAAUCCCCGGGCUCAACCUGGGAACUGCAUUCAAAACUGACUGACUAGAGUAUGGUAGAGGGUGGUGGAAUUUCCUGUGUAGCGGUGAAAUGCGUAGAUAUAGGAAGGAACACCAGUGGCGAAGGCGACCACCUGGACUAAUACUGACACUGAGGUGCGAAAGCGUGGGGAGCAAACA
rnacentral:rRNA from 1 species